AAUGGGCUCCCAAAGAUCAUUCAUACACCAUGGCAACACUGAUCUACUACCCAAGGCCCCAGUGAUAGAAAUCACAAUAAGACUUUUAUAAGUAGCCCAUAAGAUCACAAAGAUCGAAAUAUUUAAAGUUUUUUCUUCAUACAAAAUUUACCUGGUUUGGUCUAAAAACUGAAGCAUAUUUUUGUUAUCCUGUCCAAAGAAAAGCCAUACUGUCAUAGAGGCUAACUUUAAUAUAUUUUUGUAAUGUGGUAAUAAUUGGUUUAUGUUCUGGGGUGCUUUACAAAUGGGAAGAUCUAAAGAGAUAACUAUAGACUGUAUUUCAAGCAUUUAAAAAGGAUUUCCUACAAAUUAAAAAACUCAUAUGGAAUGAGCAAAUAACCGUCCUUUGCCUUCAGCGGUCCUUCUAAUGUCAACACACCCCACAACCACAACCAGGGCUGUUAAAACCCAGAUUUUAGCCCCUCUCUCUUUAGAGAGACUCAGAAUAGUAGCAUUGAGAGCUGAGAAUCUGCUUGUCCACCCAGUGCCUCAUGAUGCUUUGCCGAGGCUGCUGGUCAAUGCCUCACACUGGUGUGCCUAUGGCUGUAUCCUGUGCUAAAAUGAAAGCAAAACAACCUACUAAUUACAUGAAUAUGCUUAUUUGUUUUACUAGAGGAACUAAAUAUAGGUCAAAUAUUUGCUCCUGUAGGACAUAGAUCAUCUUCAGCAUUUUUUCAGAAUUGAGUGAUAUAUUAUGUUUUACUUCUUGAAAAUUUCAUUCAUGUUUGCAAUGUAUUUUGUUUAUAUAUAACCUCCACUAUGUCCCUCCAGCUACCCCUGCCCCUAAACAUAUCUCCCAUCUCCUCCCAACUUCAUGCAUUUAAAAAAUAACCCACUAAUGCCAAUUAGUGCUACCCAUAUGUGAAUGUCUAUGGGGUUGUCCCUUGGGGCAUGGGUACCCUACCAGUGAGGAAAGUCACCCUCCCUCCAUAUGCAUCUGCUUCUCAGCCAGAGUGGGCAUCAGGAACUUACAUCUUUACCCUGUUGCAGUGUUUAACUCUUGAUCUUGUAGGUGUGAUGUUGAUUACUUACAGAAGGGGGUUACUUGAUGAUGUUUUGACUUUAUCAUUAUUGAUUAUGAGAAUACUGAAUCACAUAAAUGUGCACUAAAAUGGAUGAAAUAUAUAUAUAUAUAUCAAACGUUUAUGGAAAUUCUGUUCCAAUCCAAAGUUGAAAUUUACUGAAAGAUUAAAAAAAUGAAACUCAAGUCAGCAAUGCAGAGAGCAAUUAAAAAAUCAAAUGCUUAAACACAGUACAAUGUAAGACAUACUAGUUUGAUACUUACUGUAGAGGAAUGACAGUAAAACAUAUUACAAGUCUGUUUUCCAUAAUUAAACCAUUGUCCCUCUAAGAGCAGGAUACUGUAUGCACAGCUUAAAAAAUGCUGCAAUUCAUUCUAUGUGUUUGUCUCGAAACUGAGCUGAGAUAUUUUAGGCAGCCAUUGACUGGCAUUGCAUGCCGUGAAGUCACAGCUGGUGAAAAGUAUCCAUGCCAUGUGCUCAGAACCGACUACAGUAAAAUUCUGCUAUGUAUCAUGAGCAAGUGCUGCCAGAAACUCCUGAGUCAUGCAUUUGAUGUUUUAAGAGUUCUUAUUUUUUCCAUACAAUAUAUUUUAAUCAUAUUCUUUUUCCUCCCCCACAUCCUUAUCUGCUAAACUCCAUGCUCUCUCUCUCUCUCUCUCUCUCUCUCAAAAAUCCCUUCAAAUAAAAACAAAAACAACCCCCCAAAACCAUGAAUCACAAUUGUAAAAGCAAACUACAAUAGUACUACUAAUAAUAAUGAAAUAACAAUAAUAAAAGAAAAUUAAUAAGAUGGAAAACCCCAAAACAAUAUUAAAAAACCCUCCAAAAACAUAAAGUCUGUUUUGCAUUGACCUGUCCCAGAGUAUGGUUGAUAGGCACAGACUCUCCAUUGGAGAAAAUUACCUCCCCAUUUCCCAGAAGAUAUCAAUUGCAUAUAGGUUUUUGAUUAGGAGUGGACUUUUGUGUCUGCUUCCCAUUCCAAAUGGUGAAUCAUGUCUGGUUUGAGCCUGUGCAGACAUUGUGAGUGCUGUCACAGGUUUACCAGCCCUGUUUUGUGUGGAAGACAGUUUCUGUAGAGUCAUCCAUCACCUCUGACUCUUAAUAUCUUUCUACCUUCCUACUUUUCUGCAUAUAUCCCUGAACCUUGAGGGGAUGGGUGUGACAAAGACAUCCAUUUAUGAUGAGUGCUCAGAAGUCUCUCAGUCUCUGGACAUUGUCCAGUUGUGGAUCUCUGUGUGACUUACCAUCUGCUACAAGAAGAAACUUGAGGUCUCUUGUUUCUGGUCCUGUCUGUGUAGUUCCAUCAGCUUCUCCUGGCUCUUCCUUCCACACCAUAAGAAAGAGUGCUGGGAUUGCAAAUGUGUGCCACCAUGUACAGCUUUUCCUGUGAGUUCAGGCCUCUGAAUGAAAGUUCCCAGGCUCACAAGUUUCUAUGUAGCAUGUUUUUUAAGGCCCAUGUGGAUCAAUGUCCAAAGGCUGGUGUUACUGGGAAACAGAGAGAACUUUAAGACACAUAACCUCAUGGGAGGCCAUCUGGGUCUUUGCUGUGAAGUGAGUAAGUUUGUUCUACUACAUUUGCUCAUGAAGAUAUGUUGCCUCAAAAUGCAAAAGGCAACGAGACCAAGUGGCUAUGGACUGACAUACUCCAAACAACCUUUUGUUCUCUUUAUUGCCAGACUGCAUGUAUCACAUAGACCUCUGAAAUAAAUCUUUGUACUUAAGACACAUUCCAUUUCAAUACUCCAUACCACUAAUAUGUCUACUGCAGGAGGCCUACUGCCACCAGAUGAGGAAACUGAGAUGAAAUAAUGAGUCAAGGAUCUGGACUCUGUAGUUGAAGAAGUGAGACUUGCUCAACAGCCUAUUUCUUUUCUCCAUAUGUUCUGUAAGAUGUGAGCAAAAGAUACCCGGGUUGCCAGCUAAUGACAUAAACAAGAGUACCGAGACACCGUUUGGUGAGAGUCAUACAAGAUUACUGGAGUCUGGAGUGCGUUGUGCAGCUGUCCAUGACCCUCAGCUUCAAAAGUCGCUGACUUCUGAAAACACUAAUGACUGAUGUGGGAAGCAGAAGUGAAGAACCGCCAUAGCAACAAAGAUACCGCAGAAAGAAAAGAUGCAGGAAUCCAAGUUUUGUAAAGGUUAAUGAGUCAUUUUGCCCUUGGGAGGAAGACAGACUUGUCAGAAGGAAGCAUGGUCCAGAGAAGGGUGCCACUGCCUACUGGGAUCAUUUGUGUUGAAUUCUCAGUGAUAGCAAGCUACAUAGUCAUGACCCAAGUCAAGGGUCAAGAGUGGAUUUUUAACCUACACCCAAGCAAUGAAGCCAAGUCAAGAGGAUUGCAGCAAUAAAUCAGUGUCCCAACACACAGGAUUUCCUCCUUUCUGCUGCAUGGGAAUCAGAAAAAAAUAGUUUGGAAGGACGUCAUCAACAGCAGGAACUGGAUGAGGUUGGUUGCUGUGACCCCUUGGGAGAAUGCAUUCAGUUCUCUGCUAAUUGACAAUGAGGCUAUCACUCCAAAUGUUUCAAUGGAGGUGGUAACAAUAAGAAAUUGCUUCUGACCCUCAUGUGAAUACGUUGACUCCAGAAAUUAUGCCAGCAUGGUGUAAGAAGCAUUUUGGUGUUAUUUUAAAAUACGUUCAGUAAUAUGCUACUGGUGGCCUUUUCCAAUGAGUGUCUUUUUUUCCAGUCGGCUGACCCCUUUUCACUGACAUCCAUUUUGAGCAUUAACAAGGUGCUGAAAAGCUGUUUGGUCUCCUAAUUCCCCAACCUACAUGCACACCUUUUCUUUCAAAGGCCAGCUGACUAGCAGGGGAAAGGCUGUUUCUAGUGUGGCUGCCUAUUGUUAUGGGUACUGCUAUGGUUUAGACAAAUGCCAUGUGUUAGGGGAUUGACACUGGUGUAGUGGCUAGGAGACAAAAAUUCUAUACACAGUGGGCUUCUGUGCGAUGUCCUUAGGGUACUGAAAUUACCCUAUAGCACAAGGUUUACACGAAUGGGCAGGUAUCUCUAUAGUAAGUAAACUGUUUUUUUGAUAUAUAUACCCAAUAAUGACCUAGCUGGAGUGUAUGGCACUUCUAUUUUUAAAUGAAUUACAUUUUUGCCACUAAUAUAUAUGGAUUCUCCACCCCUGCAUCCUUGUCAAUGUUUGUUGCUUUCUUUCCUUGAUGAUCACCAUUCUGAAUGGGAUAAUGUGAAUUCCCAGUGCAGUUUUGGUUAAUAUUUUUCUGGUGGCCAUGGAUGCUGUGAAAUUCCUCGUGUAUUUACUGGGCAUUUGCAGUCUUCACUUGGAAAGUUUUUGUUCACUUAUAUGUUGUUCAUUGAUCAGAUUACAUGUUCUUUGAGUAUAUAUUUUCUCCUUUUCUUACAUGUUUUGACUAUUAAUAUCUGACAAGGAAUUUUCCCUCUCCUGUUGGAUGUGUCCUUAGUGGGCUAAUUAUUUCACUUCACAAUUUUAGGCAAUUCUGACUAAUUCUUACUUUAGAUUUAAUUUUUCACCAUUAUUGUGUGCACGCCCAUGCAGUGAGUGUGCGGGCAUCUAUGCCAUGGCACGUGGGUGGGAGCAAGAGAAAAACUUGGUGGAAACACUUCUCUCCUCCCACAGCAGGCUUGCAUGGCAAACACCUUUACUUGCUGAGCAAUCUCACCGGCCACAUUCUUGCCAUAAAAACUUUUAAAUUAAAAUAAAAUCACAUCAUUUUCAGCUUCUCUUUUACUGUUCCAAUGUCUGUUCCCUCCCCUUUCAAAAAUUCAUGGCCUCCCCUUCUUUAACCAUUUCGUUCUGUGGAUAGUAGAGGCCUAUUCAGAAUAUCACUGCCUAUGCAGUCUUAUUAAGAGACAUGGGAAGAUCCAGCCGAAUGUGGGUGGUACCAUUUCUAAGCAAGAGAAUUCUGUAUAUGAGCACCAGCAAAAAAGCUAGCAUGAAAAUACUCAUUUCCCUCUGCCCUUGAUUGAGGAUGUCAUACAACUAGGUGUUUGGGGUCCAUGCCACCUUGACUUUCUUGCUCUGGUGGUCUUUGACCUGAAACUGAGAGCUAUGAUAGAUCUUCUCCCCUAAGCUGCUUUUUGUCAGGAUAUUUUGGCACAGCAGCAGAGACGAAACUAGAACACGAAUGUGCAGGUGUGAUGGUGGUCCCUCAUGCCCUCGUGCUACCAGAUGUCAUGUUUUACUUCUCGCCGACCAUUUUUCAGAAAGACGUACACUCUAUACUGUUGACUGUUAUCAUCGUCAUCGUUGUUUUUGAAACAGGGUUUCACUUUGUGUUCCAUGCUGACUAGAAAAAUCUUCACAUUUCUUCUGGUGCAUCUUGAGAGCUGGAAUUAUAGUGUGUUAUCACACCCUGCUGAUUUACUUUUUUGUCUCUGUUGUUUUGUUUCUGCUUUAAUUUCUUCCACUAAGCAUGGAAUUGUUUUGUUUUCUCUUUCCUAGGACCUUGAAGUAGACCCUUAAAUUGUUAAUUUGAAAUCUUCCUAGUUUUGUAUAUUUUUCUGUAUUUUGUAUACACUGUCUUCUCAUGGUUUAUUCUGUUAUAUUUCACGUGUUUUGGUAUGCUGUACUUCCAUUUAUUUUGAGGACAUAUCUAGGUCUUCAUUUCAUUUUCUCCAGUGAUCCCUUGGUUAUUGAUUUAGUUUUCAUGUGCCUUUAUAAUGUUUAUAUUAUGUUUAUUGAUUUCUAGUUCUAUUUCAUUGUGCUAAGAAAAACGCCUGAUAUGGUUUUG